GCGGUGGAGCAUGUGGUUUAAUUCGAUGCAACGCGAAGAACCUUACCAUCCCUUGACAUCCACAGAAGGUCUUAGAGAUAGGACUGUGCCUUCGGGAACUGUGAGACAGGUGCUGCAUGGCUGUCGUCAGCUCGUGUUGUGAAAUGUUGGGUUAAGUCCCGCAACGAGCGCAACCCUUAUCCUUAUUUGCCAGCGAUUCGGUCGGGAACUCUAAGGAGACUGCCGGUGAUAAACCGGAGGAAGGUGGGGACGACGUCAAGUCAUCAUGGCCCUUACGGGAUGGGCUACACACGUGCUACAAUGGUAUGUACAGAGGGAAGCGAACUUGCGAGAGUAAGCGGAGCCCUUAAAGCAUAUCGUAGUCCGGAUUGGAGUCUGCAACUCGNNUCCAUGAAGUCGGAAUCGCUAGUAAUCGCGGAUCAGAAUGCCGCGGUGAAUACGUUCCCGGGCCUUGUACACACCGCCCGUCACACCAUGGGAGUGGGUUGCUCCAGAAGUGGCUAGUCUAACCUUCGGGAGGACGGUCACCACGGAGUGAUUCAUGCCUGGGGUGAAGUCGUAACAAGGUAACA
rnacentral:rRNA from 1 species